rnacentral:rRNA from 1 species
GAUGAACGCUAGCUACAGGCUUAACACAUGCAAGUCGAGGGGCAGCAUGAACAUAGCUUGCUAUGUUUGAUGGCGACCGGCGCACGGGUGCGUAACACGUAUCCAAUCUGCCCGUUACUCGGGGAUAGCCUUCUGAAAGGAAGAUUAAUACCCGAUGGCAUUCAUUAGCGGCAUCGCUUUUGGAUUAAAGNUUUAUCGGUAACGGAUGAGGAUGCGUACGAUUAGCUGGUUGGCGGGGUAACGGCCCACCAAGGCGACGAUAGCUAUCCGGCCUGAGAGGGUGAACGGACACAUUGGGACUGAGAUACGGCCCAGACUCCUACGGGAGGCAGCAGCUAAGAAUAUUCCGCAAUGGGGGAAACCCUGACGGAGCGACGCCGCGUGGAUGAUGAAGGCCGGAAGGUUGUAAAGUCCUUUUAGGCGCAAGAAUAAGUACGCGAGGAAA